UCGGGAAUUUUGGGCAAUGGGCGAAAGCCUGACCCAGCAACGCCGCGUGCAGGAAGAAGGCCUUCGGGUUGUAAACUGCUUUUGUACGGAACGAAAAGGCUCUUUCUAAUAAAGAGGGCCCAUGACGGUACCGUAAGAAUAAGCACCGGCUAACUACGUGCCAGCAGCCGCGGUAAUACGUAGGGUGCGAGCGUUAAUCGGAAUUACUGGGCGUAAAGCGUGCGCAGGCGGUUCUAUAAGACAGAUGUGAAAUCCCCGGGCUCAACCUGGGAAUGGCAUUUGUGACUGUAGAGCUAGAGUACGGUAGAGGGGGAUGGAAUUCCGCGUGUAGCAGUGAAAUGCGUAGAUAUUAGGAAGAACACCAGUGGCGAAGGCGGCUCACUGGAUCGGUACUGACGCUGAGGUGCGAAAGCGUGGGGAGCAAACAGGAUUAGAUACCCAAGUAGUCCCUGAGCGGGCUGGCAAGGCGCAU
rnacentral:rRNA from 1 species